GCUCCGGUGGUGUAGUCCGGUUUAGCAUAGCGGCCUUUCGAGCCGUUGAUCGCGGGUUCAAAAGCGGCAGGGCUGCUGGAAGUCCCGCCCGGAGCACCA
rnacentral:tRNA from 4 species